UUGGAGGGCAAGUCUGGUGCCAGCAGCCGCGGUAAUUCCAGCUCCAAUAGCGUAUAUUAAAGUUGUUGCAGUUAAAAAGCUCGUAGUUGAAUUUCGGGGUUAGUAGGUUGGUCAUGCCUCUGGUAUGUACUGGUCUCACUGAUUCCUCCUUCCUGAUGAGCCGUAAUGCCAUUAAUUUGGUGUUGCGGGGAAUUUGGACUGUUACUUUGAAAAAAUUAGAGUGUUUAAAGCAAGCUAACGCUUGAAUACAUUAGCAUGGAAUAAUGAAAUAGGACGUUCGAUCCUAUUUUGUUGGUUUCUAGGAUUGACGUAAUGAUUAAUAGGGAUAGUUGGGGGCAUUAGUAUUCAAUUGUCAGAGGUGAAAUUCUUGGAUUUAUUGAAGACUAACUACCGCGAAAGCAUUUGCCAAGGAUGUUUUCAUUAAUCAAGAACGAAAGUUAGGGGAUCGAAGACGAUCAGAUACCGUCGUAGUCUUAACCAUAAACUAUGCCGACUAGGGAUCGGAUGAUGUUAAUUCUUUAAUGACUCAUUCGGCGCCUUACGGGAAAC
rnacentral:rRNA from 1 species